UACGUAGGGGCAAGCGUUGUCCGGAAUUAUUGGGCGUAAAGCGCGCGCAGGCGGUCCUUUAAGUCUGAUGUGAAAGCCCACGGCUUAACCGUGGAGGGUCAUUGGAAACUGGUCGACUUGAGUGCAGAAGAGGGAAGUGGAAUUCCAUGUGUAGCGGUGAAAUGCGUAGAUAUUAGGAGGAACACCAGUUGCGAAGGCGGCUCUCUGGACUGUAACUGACACUGAGGCACGAAAGCGUGGGGAGCAAACAGGAUUAGAUACCCGCGUAGU
rnacentral:rRNA from 1 species